GGCCGGGGAAAUCGGUUGGGAAUCGACGCGCUCACGUCGUCGGCGUCCAGCGGAAACUGUCCGGCUUGGGGCCGGAAGACCUGAGGGGUACGUCCGGGGUAGGAGUGAAAUCCUGUAAUCCUGGACGGACCACCAAUGGGGAAACCACCUCAUGAAGACGGACCCGACGGUGAGGGACAAAAGCUAGGGUCUCGAACCGGAUUAAAUACCCGGGUAGUCCUAGCUGUAAACGAUGCUCGCUAGGUGUGCCGUACGCUACGAGCCUGCGCUGCGCCCUAGGGAAACCGAGAAGCGAGCCGCCUGGGAAGUACGUCUGCAAGGAUGAAACUUAAAGGAAUUGGCGGGGGAGCACCACAACCGGAGGAGCCUGCGGUUUAAUUGGACUCAACGCCGGAAAUCUCACCGGUCCCGACAGUAGUAAUGACGGUCAGGUUGACGACUUUACCCGACGCUACUGAGAGGAGGUGCAUGGCCGCCGUCAGCUCGUACCGUGAGACGUCCUGUUAAGUCAGGCAACGAGCGAGACCCGCACUUCUAGUUGCCAGCAAUACCCUUGAGGUAGUUGGGUACACUAGGAGGACUGCCGCUGCUAAAGCGGAGGAAG
rnacentral:rRNA from 1 species